GUAUUUUCUUGGUGUUUGGGUGGCUUUGCUUUGGCCACGGUUGUUUUGUAUUAAGCUGCUGUGCUUUUGUGGGCUUUGUUCUGCUCUUUGGGUUCUUGGGCUUGGUAUCUUUGGAGAGACACCUCUAGUUUGCAUCUGGUCUCUUAGCGGCUAUAAGAGACUAGGCUUGGUCCCCGUCGAGCUCCUGAGAUCUUUCCUAGUUUUUGAAUGUGUUGAGAC
rnacentral:misc_RNA from 1 species